GGGCGAGUGGCGAAAUAGGCAGACGCGCCAGCUUUAGGAGCUUGUGCUCGAAAGAGCGUGAGGGUUCGACUCCCUCCUCGCCCA
rnacentral:tRNA from 1 species